GACGAACGCUGGCGGCGUGCUUAACACAUGCAAGUCGAACGAAGAGCGAUGGAGGCUUGCUUCUAUCAAUCUUAGUGGCGAGCGGGUGAGUAACGCGGAAUCAACCUGCCCUUCAGAGGGGGACAACAGGUGGAAACGACUGCUAAUACCGCAUACGAUCUAAUCUCGGCAUCGAGUAUAGAUAGAAGGUGGCCUCGACAUGUAAGCUAUCACUGAAGGAGGGGAUUGCGGCUGAUUAGGUAGUUGGAUGGGUAAGGGCCCACCAAGGCGAUGAUCAGUAGCCGGUCUGAGAGGAGGAACGGCCACAUUGGGACUGAGGAACGGCCCAGAAUCCUAAGGGAGGCAGCAGUGGGGAAUCUUCCGGCAUGGACGAAAGGCUGAAGGAGCAAAGCCGCGUGAGGGAUGACGGCCUUCGGGUUCUAAAGCUCUGUUAAUCGGGAAGGAAGGAAUUCUUGAGAAUAGUGAGAAGGAUUGACGGUACCGGAAUAGAAAGCCACGGCUAACUACGUG
rnacentral:rRNA from 1 species